rnacentral:misc_RNA from 1 species
UGACCAUGGAGACAAGGCGAAAGGCCUGCUACAGAAGAGGAGCUCGGUCGGCGAUGGGAGCGACCAUGGCCGGACCUGGGCGAGGCCCUUGGCAGCAGAGGAAGCCAUCGCGCUGCUACAGAGGGAAUGGCGAGCUGCACACACAAAAAAGGGGGAGGCCGACCUGGGGAGGAUGGCGGCCAGGUGGGGCUGCUCGAGGAACUCCACGGCCAGGCGGGGAUGGCCGGAUUUGGAGCGAAGGAGCUCUGGGCGAGCAGGGGUUGGGCGAAUUGGAUCUGGCCUGGAGCUGGACUGCGUGGAUGAGAGCUUUCUACGCCUGCGCCUGGGGAAGGGAACGCACGUGGGGGAGCUCGCGGCUUGCGCGCCAUGGGAGAGGGAAAGGAUCCCUGCUACUGGCGAGGUGCACCAGGGAGGCGGCCUUCGGAGCUCCGGCUGGAGAUUUGGGGCACCAUGGAUGGGAGUAGAGAGGUGUGCUCGAGCUCUGCAUUUUCUGGACAGAGGGGACAUGGCUCCCAUACGCCAGCACUUGGGGAAGAUGGCUGCCGGCAAGCUUACAGACGAAAACCAGGGGGGCUCGAAAGAGAGGAAGGCAGGGAAGCCUGUUGGAGAGCCGACGCCGGAGGGAGCUGUAGAGGCGAGCGACGGCUCCCUGGAAGCUUCUGCGUGCUGGGUGGAGAGGGCGCCAGGGAGGUAGCCAUGGGAGCUCCCUUGCUCCUGCGCGAAUCAGAGAGGAGGAAAACGCCAGGAAGGAAGAACGCCGGCUGGGGAAGAAGACAGGGGGAGGAGCGGCUGCUCGGUUGAUUUAACGAGGUAUCGCUGGAAUUCCAUUGGCUGGGAUUGGGCGGCAAUUCCCACUGGCCGGCUGCAGCCAUUGGCGCAGAGAGCACAGGGCCGAGCGCUAGGACCAGGUGGUGGCGUG